GCUGGCGGCAUGGCUAAAACAUGCAAGUCGAACGCGAAAGUUCCCUUCGGGGAACAAGUAGAGUGGCGAAAGGGCGAGGAAUACAUGGGUAACGUGCCCUGGGCACGAGGAUAGCCGUGGGAAACCGCGGGUAAUACUCGAUGAGACCGUAGCAUCGCAUGUUGCAUCGGUCAAAGGGUGGGGAUCCCUUCGGGGACCUGCCGGCCUGGGAGCGGCCCAUGUCCUAUCAGCUUGUUGGUGAGGUAAAGGCUCACCAAGGCUACGACGGGUAGCGGGACUGAGAGGUUGGCCCGCCGCAUUGGGACUGAGACACUGCCCAGACUCCUACGGGAGGCUGCAGUAACGGAUAUUGGACAAUGAACGAAAGUUUGAUCCAGCAAUGCCGCGUGCGGGAAGAAGCUCUUCGGAGUGUAAACCGCUGUCAGGGGUUACCAAGCGAUCAGGGUUAAUAGCCCUGAAAGUUGAGGCGCCCCACAGGAAGUCACGGCUAACUUCGUGCCAGCAGCCGCGGUAAUACGAAGGUGGCGAGCGUUGUUCGGAAUCACUGGGCUUAAA
rnacentral:rRNA from 1 species